GACGAACGCUGGCGGCGUGCUUAACACAUGCAAGUCGAACGCUGAAGCACCAGCUUGCUGGUGUGGAUGAGUGGCGAACGGGUGAGUAAUACGUGAGUAACCUGCCCUUGACUCUGGGAUAAGCCCGGGAAACUGGGUCUAAUACUGGAUGCUACAUGUCACCGCAUGGUGGUGUGUGGAAAGGGUUUACUGGUCUUGGAUGGGCUCACGGCCUAUCAGCUUGUUGGUGAGGUAAUGGCUCACCAAGGCGACGACGGGUAGCCGGCCUGAGAGGGUGACCGGCCACACUGGGACUGAGACACGGCCCAGACUCCUACGGGAGGAAGCAGUGGGGAAGAUUGCACAAUGGGCGAAGGCCUGAUGCAGCGACGCCGCGGGAGGGAUGACGGCCUUCGGGUUGAAGACCUCUUUCAGCAGGGAAGAAGCCACAAGUGACGGUACCUGCAGAAGAAGCGCCGGCUAACUACGUG
rnacentral:rRNA from 1 species